CGGGGUAUAGCGCAGUCUGGUAGCGCGCUUGCUUUGGGAGCAAGAUGUCGGGGGUUCGAAUCCCUCUACCCCGACCA
rnacentral:tRNA from 1 species